GCCGAAACAGCAGAAACAAGCAACCUGCAUUGGCUCAUAGAAAAACACAAAUAUAUGCAAGAAUAAGGAGUUUUCUUCUAGAUAUUGAAUUUACCUUUCUUACUGCUGCAGCACAGUGAGCCAAUAUUUUCAGUGAAUGCCAUGAUGGGCUACUCUCCUGAUGUGCCUAUAUUCAUGCAAUCUCUCCUGGAGAAUGUUGGGAUGAGCUUCAAGUGGCAGAGAGGGAGGGGUCUCCUCCCCGGUUUCUGGAUUGCUGCUCCUCGACAAACCAGUGUCUGGAAUGCUGACUCCCUUCUGUCCUUGCUGCAGCUGCUGCUAUCAAGGUGUUUGGUGGGGGACAAGGAAAGAGACACUUGCUGCCCAGUGGCAUAGCUGGGCAUGAGGGAGGACAGAGAUACUCUACUAAGAUUACUAUGGCAAGGAGAAGGAAUGCAGAGGAACAAGAGAUUUCCCUCAUCUCAAUGACCUGAGUCUUCCCGUCUCAACAUAUUACAGAAUAUUUCCACUACACUGAAAAUAAUGUUUAUACCAUCCUUUUCCUUUUUCUAUCAUCAACAUAAUAGCACCCUGUUACUAAGAAUUAC